rnacentral:lncRNA from 1 species
UUUUUUCUUGGCUUUAUUGAGAAAAUUCUAUAUGUUGUAACAUAUUUCCACUUUAAAAUCGAGCAUUUCGGCAAUUUUAACCAAUCAAAUAUGUCCAUUUGGGGUGAAAACAUACCAUGCUGUAUGAAUAUGUCCCUUGUUUAAGAAACAGAUUGGGUUUAUUUACAUUGCGAAGAAAAAAAGAUACCCUUCCCCUACCCCUAACCCUAACCCCACCCCUAACCCUAACCCUAACUCUAACUAAACCUAACCUUAAAAUAGAUUGAAAUGCAAUAGAUCAAUACUAGGGUUAUAAUUAUGGGUGACAUUUUCAUUUGACACAGCUAGAAAAAAUCCCAUUUUCCGUAGCGGUGUCGUAUGAAAUUGUCACCCAUAAUUAUAACCCUAGUAUCGAUCUAUUGCAUUUCAAUCUGUUUUAGUGUUAGGUUUAGAGUUAUGGUUAGGGUUAGGGUUAAGGGUUAGGGGUGGUGGAAGGGUAUCUUUUUUUCUUCGCAAAUGUAAAUAAACCCAAUCAGUUUCUUAAACGAGGGACAAAUUCAUACAGCACGGUAUGUUUUCACCCCAAAUGGACGUAUUUGAUUAGGCUUUCCCUAAUGCCUGUCUGCCAAAAUUCAAGAAAUUCCAGUAGUGCUUGUGAAUGUCCAUCCCGAACUUUAUCUGGAUACCAACUUGGAUUUUUUUUCAAUCCAGUUAUACCAGAUUUGAUCAUCAUCAUUUUUAUUUUCAGUAAGCAUGGGGUUUUCUGACUCCUCAUUAUCAUUUUCUUUCAAAAACAUAUUCCUUUGGCUUGUGAUGGCAGACAAACUGAAAUAACCCUGGAACUAGUUUAUUUUUGUCAAAAUUCUUAGUGGGCAGAAACUCAGUCCACACUCUAAUAUUGUCCAGUGAUAGUCUUAGCUUAGAUUUUUGACCAACUUAUUUGUUCAUACAUGAUAUGAUGGAUUUUCUUGGAUAAGUGUUUUUCACAAUAUUACUUUCAUUAGAUUCUUGACUACCUUUUGAGUUUUGCUUGAAUCAUUCACUUAAAACAUGGAACCUAUUGUGUGAUAAAAAUUGCUUUGAAUGUUCAUGUGAGAAGUCGUAACUUUUAGUUUUCUUUCUAGGAGUAAUCCAUUUCUGGGAGGGUGAUAGAAAGUGAGUGACUUUGGUUUUUGUUACUUUGGUUACUUUUGGUUUUUGUUAGCAAUUGGAAAACCUUUACUUUCGAGUAAAAAACAAGAUUUAUUGUUCUUGAGGUAAAAUCUUAAAUGUGCUUGCAUUUUUGACUGAUCAAAUAAAAACUUCUCUGGAGAGUUUCCAAUGACUAGUUCAAAUGCAUAUGCCAGGACAAAAAGACCUCAAUCAUAUGCACCAACUUGGGGAUUAGUAAUAUGAACUUGUUGAACUGUAGGAAUUAUAUUUGUUUGUGGCAGUUACAGCAUUGUUAUCUGUGCUGUUAGUUCCUCUUAUACUGGUAAGUUCAAACUGUCAUAAACAUAGACAUCUCUAAAAAAAAUUGGUUGACAAACCAAAAUGAUUGUUCCUGGUGUGAUGAAUGAACAAUAUGUAGUGUGGACUGUAUGUUAGAAAUUUCAUGCAAGAAAAAAUGGUUGGUUGUAUUCAAAUUUCAGGAAAAUUUUCUGCUAUGAUUUUCAAUUCAGUGUUAAUAAGUUUGUCACAUAACAUUUGUCCUGAAAGUAAAAAUGACUUCUCCUCAUAUUUCAACGCAAAUGUUCUCAGUCAAAAUAUUCCUUUGCUCAUUGGCUCAGAGGAAUAGGAAAUCAGCUUUAUUAUCUUCUUUUCCAUUUUUGUCUUCAGGGAUAAAAUUUCUGUUUUUUCAAAGUUCACCAGACAAUUACACAAAUAGCUGAAAUGAUUUUGAGAACAUACCUGUUCAAGAACACUCAAAUUAUUCUUAAUGUCUGCACCAAUCAAUAUUAAUUUUGUACAAUAGUGAUGAAUGAUAGAUUCUGUUAAGUGAAAUUAAUUGCUCUCACUAAUCAGUUUAAACUUUUUAAGCAAUGAAUUGUCAAGCUGUGAUGCACACAUUGGGAUAUUUGAUGUAAGACCUUCAGAUAUAAUCUGUUUUCAUCUGCAUGUAUCCAGAAAUGAUAAAUGGCUUUUGAUUUUAGCACAAAAACGAUUAUUUUCUCAUUUUGAGAUUCAUAUUUGAAUGGUACAAAAUCCAUUGACCAAGGAUUGGGCUCAACACUGGAGUCAAGCAAAACUAACAGGGCUGACAAGCCAACUGUAAGAAAGAAUAAAUUGCAAAAACUAUAAUUUAUAUUGCGAUUUUCUUUAGACACCCAACUGUUUAGGUAACUUCCAGAAUUUCUAAAUGUUCCAAUUCUUAUUCAGUGUAACAAAAUCAACCAUCUCAAUCUGCUUGAUUUUGAUAUUUUAAAAGGAUUGACAUAACUCUUCAUAAAGGCUAAUAGACAAUAUGAAGAGUGUGAUAUAAUUGCAAUAGGCAUUUUAUUGGUUUGAACGAUGUUUUGACAGCUUGCCUGUCUUUGUUGAGUUCAAAAGGAAAAGUGAUACAUAGAAAUUCAAAUUCAAAUGUUUAGAUGAGAAGAUCCUGCAUUCCCACUUUGACAGAAUUACAUCAUCAGUCUUCAAUUUUCAAUUUUACAACUGGUAAAAAGAAAAAGAAGAAUAUGCAAUUAAACAACUUUGUGUAAAUAUGAUGAAAUUCCCGUCAUUUUGUUAAUUCCUUCAGGGCAUGAUGUUAAUAACUCACAAAAAUAUUUGUCCUUUUUAUAUCCUUCUACACAUUGGAUGUACAGAUUUCACAAAGCAGUGAUAGACACAACUGUAUUCACACUACAUACUUCAAAUUACUCCACUAAACACAAUACUCCAAUAAAUACAAACUUUCAAUGAUCUCAACGACUUCCACGAACUCACAAUGGCUCCUACAACUUCACCCUCUCAACCAAUAUGCUACUGUUUAUAAGAGUUUGGUUAGUCCAUUCUUCCUGUCGCAUGGGGAUGUCUGUGACUCUUGCCACAUCUCCCCUUUUGAGAUUUACUUCCCAGGGAAGUUUAAUAUUUUUUU